rnacentral:rRNA from 1 species
GACGAACGCUGGCGGCGUGCCUAAUACAUGCAAGUCGAACGCAGUGGGGACGGGUGAGGAACCCGUGGGUAACCUGCCAUCAGAGGGGAUAACACUUGGAAACAGGUGCUAAACCGAUAGUGAUGGAUGGUACGGGGGUGCAUUAGCUAGUUGGUGGGGUAACGGCUCACCGAGGCCACGAUGCAUAGCGGGCCGGAGAGGAGGAUCGGCCACACUGGGACUGAGACACGGUCCAGACUCCUACGGGAGGCAGCAGUAGGGAAUCUUCGGCAAUGGGCGAAAGUCUGAUGCAGCAAUGCCGCGUGAAUGAAGAAGGUUUUCGGGUCGUAAAACUCUGUUGGUGGGGAAGCGGUAUCUAAACAGGAAGCCACGGCUAACUACGUGCCAGCAGCCGCGGUAAUUC